UAGGGAAUAUUGCUCAAUGGGGGAAACCCUGAAGCAGCAACGCCGCGUGGAGGAUGAAGGUUUUAGGAUUGUAAACUCCUUUUGUUAGAGAAGAUAAUGACGGUAUCUAACGAAUAAGCACCGGCUAACUCCGUGCCAGCAGCCGCGGUAAUACGGAGGGUGCAAGCGUUACUCGGAAUCACUGGGCGUAAAGAGCGCGUAGGCGGGAUAGUCAGUCAGGUGUGAAAUCCUAUGGCUUAACCAUAGAACU
rnacentral:rRNA from 1 species